rnacentral:rRNA from 1 species
GCGGAAUGCUUUACACAUGCAAGUCGAACGGCAGCAUAGAGAGCUUGCUCUCUGAUGGCGAGUGGCGAACGGGUGAGUAAUAUAUCGGAACGUGCCUAGUAAUGGGGAAUAACUAGCUGAAAGGUUAGCUAAUGCCGCAUACGACCUACGGGUGAAAGCAGGGGAUCUUCGGACCUUGCGUUAUUAGAGCGGCCGAUAUCUGAUUAGCUUGUUGGUGGGGUAAUGGCCUACCAAGGCGACGAUCAGUAGCUGGUCUGAGAGGACGAUCAGCCACACUGGAACUGAGACACGGUCCAGACUCCUACGGGAGGCAGCAGUGGGGAAUUUUGGACAAUGGGGGCAACCCUGAUCCAGCCAUUCCGCGUGAGUGAAGAAGGCCUUCGGGUUGUAAAGCUCUUUCGCAAGAGAAGAAAACUUGCUAUCUAAUAAAUAGUAAGUAUGACGGUAUCUUGACAAGAAGCACCGGCUAACUACGUGCCAGCAGCCGCGGUAAUACGUAGGGUGCAAGCGUUAAUCGGAAUUACUGGGCGUAAAGCGUGCGCAGGCAGUUUUAUAAGUCAGAUGUGAAAUCCCCGAGCUCAACUUGGGAACUGCGUUUGAAACUGUAAGACUAGAGUGUGUCAGAGGGGGGUAGAAUUCCAAGUGUAGCAGUGAAAUGCGUAGAGAUUUGGAGGAAUACCAAUGGCGAAGGCAGCCCCCUGGGAUAAC